UAGUUCAUCUCUACGAUGCAGAUAUGGCUACAAACAAGCCUAACAGAUGGAGAGAUGGCGUCUACCCACCAAAACUCAUUUCUCACAACGCUCGGAGAGAGGAAAUGUGUUUGGAGGCCUUCAGGCAAGGAUGCUAAGGAACGGUUUACAUGAAAGCCAAGCCUGGGCCUGUUUGGGUAUAAGAUGCCGAAGACUUCCACAGCCUAAUGAGCUAGCUAAGCGCGCUAACCCUCUGGCAAGUUCAACGUUUGGUAUCAGAUAUUAAGCGUGCAUUAUAACCUUCAGAAAAACAAUAACAGUUCUCUCACUUCCAGUUUAAAAUUACCACAAAACUGCUUUCGCAACCUAUUUUACUUCCUUUUCUGAGUGAAACAGCAUCAAAACAAUGGCUAGCUUAUAUAUAUAGCUAGCUAACGGAAGCUAAGCUAGCUAGUUCAUUAAAAAAAUGACUUUUUUCAUCUCAGAACCCUGUAUCUUCUGACAGACUUUUCUCCACAUACUGUAUACGGACGAGUUAGCAUUGUGGCUAAAGACACCCUAAAAGGCAGAUACCAUUUUAACAAAUGUACUUUAUAUUUCCUUAACACAUUUCAUGGAGCAUUUGGUUCAUAACACAGAUGGGCGAGAGACAGCUAUUUUUUUUUUAAAGUGAGUUUUAGCACUAUCACCAACUGGAAAUGGAGAUCAACACAUUAGCUAGUGUUUUCAAACAGACAGACGACUCUGAUGGAGCAUUUCACAGCUUCCUGCUCUUUCUAAAAUGACACUGAAUGAAUGUGUUUACCCACAAAAACACAGUCCAGAUGAGUCCAGGCAGCUCUUUUCCAUGCAAUGAUACUGAAUGGGGACUGAGCCCAUCAAGCUUCAAAAAAAACACAAAAACAUCAUAAAAGUAACAUGUAAUACAACUUGAGCAUUAUUUAGUGAAAAUGUUAACAUCAACCCUAGCUCUCCUUAUCACAUUCAUAGUUUGUGGCAGAAAUAGUAAUUUGUAAAUUAAUCGUUUUGAUUUGAAUCUUUUCAAUGAAUCAGUUGAUCCAAAACAAUCUGAAUGAUUCAGUCAAAUCAGACUAACUGGGUUCUUCAAAUUUGUUUUAAAUAUUUUAAUUUAGAAUUUCACAAAGUCAAUUUAUUUUGCAAUAACACUUUUUAUAUUAUUGAAACAAAACAUAAAACUUCAUAAUUACAUAAAAUAAUUUUUCUAAUUACAUCAUUUUUCACUCAAUGAUUCAGUUAACAGCUCAUUGGAGGGCAAGAUUAUUGCAGAGCAAUAAUUAGUGAAUUUCCAUAUUUGGGUGAACUCUUCCUGUAAUAUGUUUAUCCAUAAACACAUCACUAUGUGCCCAAGCAGUCAGUGUGUUCAUUAAUAUUAAAUGUGAUAUAUUAACACUGGGGACACAGCAAUAUGAUAAACUGUAUUCCUCUACUCAAACCACACUCCUGUUUUCUAUUCUCCCCAAUUUAUUUAUUUAUUUAUUUAUUUUUGUAGUUUUUAUAUCCGAUUGGCCAUAAAUUGAAAGUGAAAAAUGUAAUUUGUCACCCAGCCAAUCUGAGUCCUCACGACGAUCAUGAAAGAAAUCACGUUAUGAUUCUCCUGUCAUCUGUGGGCCACCUGUAUGCCUGUGUCUUAUUCAUAAAACAUUAUUAAGAGAUCAGUCAUAGAGCCAUAAUAGAGGAACCCACAGCCAACGUUAUAUCAACAGAUGCAUCUGCUGUGGUUAUUUUCAUUCAACAUGACAGUGCAUGUUUGCAUUACUUGUGCUUAUCAAAUUACAAUUUCAAAAAUGUCUGAAGUCAUGAAGAAUUGUGUUUGAUUUGUCAAUAGUCGGAAGCUAUAUGCUGCAACACAAAUCUUAUUUGAUCUAUUUUCUUCCUUAAAGCCGAAAUGUCAUUUUUCCCAAUGUAAAAAUAGCAAAAACCGCCUGUACUUUUUUUUUUAGAUUAUUUUGGGUUGGUGUUUCAUUGAAAGGACAUUAUAUUCAGGAAGCUCUGGGAACGGCUCACCUCAAAUUAGUUUGAUCUCCAUCCAGGCAUUGGACCGCAAAGACAACAACCGAUCUGGCAUCAACACCAAUGGGAAACAUCGUUCUGAAUUCAAACUACAUCCAUUCAUUUUCACUGUCUGUCCUUUCUCCUGCGGGACAAGAAGCUUUUUUCACACCAAUAAUGUUUUACACAAAGUGUCUUCUCCUUGGAGACAAUCUUUGGAAGGCUUGUGUUGCGUCGGCUCGAUUUUUCUAUUUGUCAAGGAUAUUUAUUACAAGCACAUUGUAAAUGAUUAGUGUGGGCAUGUGUCUAAAUAAAUUUUCCAUGUAAUCAUUGUGAUGCA
ensembl:lncRNA